rnacentral:misc_RNA from 1 species
UUUCCGUAGGUGAACCUGCGGAAGGAUCAUUCAUAAUAAAGUGUUUUAUGGCACUUUUAAAAAUCCAUAUCCACCUUGUGUGCAAUGUUAGAUCUCGUCAAUCUUGGCGAGAUUUUUAUACAUCAACUCAUUCUUUAACUAAUUUGUCUGAAAAAUAUUAUGAAUACUUAAUUCAAAAUACAACUUUCAACAACGGAUCUCUUGGCUCUC